UACGGAGGGUGCAAGCGUUAUCCGGAUUCACUGGGUUUAAAGGGUGCGUAGGUGGGCAGGUAAGUCAGUGGUGAAAUCUCCGGGCUUAACCCGGAAACUGCCAUUGAUCACUAUCUGUCUUGAAUACCGUGGAGGUGAGCGGAAUAUGUCAUGUAGCGGUGAAAUGCUUAGAUAUGACAUAGAACACCAAUUGCGAAGGCAGCUCACUACGCGAAUAUUGACACUGAGGCACGAAAGCGUGGGGAUCGAAACAGGAU
rnacentral:rRNA from 1 species